CGGUCAGCUCGCGCACUUCUCGCCAACAGUCCCCCGCCGCCCAGCGGAGCCUUGGACGUCCCACCGCGCACUCUCCUGCUGUGCGCGCACUCACGCGCGCUUCUCCGGCGGCCACGCGCUCUCCGACCGCGCGUCCGACCGCGCGCGCGCGCUCACGCGCGGUGCACCUCCCGGCCGCGCGCCCGCUACCCUGCCCCGGCGCGCGCUCGCCCAGCAGCCGGGCUCGGCCCCUUCACGGGCACGCGGCGCACGCCCGGAGCUUUAGGGAAGCAGGUCCCAGCGCGGGUGCUGCCCUAGGUCGGGGAGUGAGGUUUGAGCGGAGACCACCGGAGUGAAACUCCACCCGCCAUCUCUGAGUGACGCACGCGGAGAAAAGCAAUAGGAGUUUGCGUUUGAAGCUUUGAAGAAACAGGGCAUUCCCCCGGCUGCCCGCCCCCACCCCAUCAGCUGUGAGAGAUUAUAUUUAAUGACACUAGUAACCUCUAUGUAUCGAAUACUUAUGACCCUCGGACAAGGCAUUUAACGCGCACACGGUAUUUCAUUGAGUCCUCAGAACAGCCCUCUGAUUUCUUGCCCCCAUUUUACAGAGGAGGAAUCUGAGGGAAACAGGCUCAGAGGGGUGAAGAAACUCGUCCAAGCGUUUUUGGACCCCAUUGCUCGGUGCUAUGUUCUCCGCGACUCUAUCACUGGAAAUGUCGACUGAGGUCAAUGUUUGAAGGAGAAACAUAAAUGGAAAAAACAAAUAUGGAAGAAAAUGGUAAAUUAUUCCUAAAAUUUAAUGAUAAAAGUUCUGAAAAAGAAGCCAAACUCUAAAACGUCCCUGGUGAACAAGUUCUGCUCAUGCAAGCUCUAGGACCUGCCAAGUGACUGAAGUCCAAACAGGAAAAGAAGAAUAAAGCAUUAUAUGGGACUGUGGAUGGUUUCACUUCUGAAGGCCAGUCCUAAGGAAUGGGUGGUAACCGAGCUGCUCCACCACACGAGGGCGCACGAGCAGUUACUGAAAGUCUGCGAAGAACAAGGAAGAACUUCAUUCAUAUGCAGUUUUGCGUCCCAAGACCGCCCGGUCUUAAGUUCCACAACCUCUGCCUGAAGACUCUAACUGUGGCCCUCUAAGCUCGGCUGGUCUUCGCUCACCAAUUGAUUAUCCCCAGCACUGAUCCACGAACUCCCUUGCAGUGCCCACUACAGAGCACGGGAACCCGAGAGGAACCGCAGGGCUGAGCCGCAAGAGAUGGAACCCUGGCCACGGCUCACCGUGCCUUCUCGACAAAGGAACAGCAGUCCCAGCCAGACCUAGUGCAGCGGUGCAUCCAGUGCUGGGUUCCCAGCCUCUCCACCGCCUGUUAAAGUGUCUUCAGCACCUCCGUAUACCCCAGGAGUCUCCAAGAUAUCAAUAGAGGCAACCACAAAGGGCAACUUGGGGAAAAAUACCCUGCCUCAAGCCUUCCCAAGACUCGCGUCGCGAUGCACCAAAGGGACGGCGUAAGGCUAAUGAUCCCACGUUCUGCUUUUCGUGGGUCAGCAGUUUUUUUUUCCCAAGGAGGCCCUGCUGGAGAGUGCUCUGCAAGUGGCCCUCGACGCUCUGGGUGAGAGAGGAGGUGGGGAACCAGUCAAUAUCCAGCACCAGAAACUCAGAAAGAUAGAUAAUUCAUCACCAAAUAGAACGUGCAAAGCUCCAUGCAGGGGAGAGAAAGUACUGUGAUACUCUCCUCAGUGUGACCAGGAAACCACUCUGUAAAUAUUUAGAAAAUAGCAAUAGCCUGUAAGAACAGGCUACAUACCCAUACUUUCUCCAUCUUCGUUUUUAAGCCAGUCUUCUGUACAGAGAAAUUCGGACAGUGAUCAGUUCUGCUAAAAAAAAUCUAUGAGCGACAGGCAAUACCUGCACAUUCCGCCUAGCACCCUACAACCAGGGGCUUUCCCUGACAUGGAGGCAAGCUGAAAAAGAAGUUUGACUUACCCUUUUGUCCCUCUGCUGCGCCACACUGUAAAACCCAAGCCUGUGUCGUUCCCUCGGUCCCCUCCCACGCCAUGGCCAGUCUAAAGUGCCAGGAGGGAACUCACAGUUGCCAAAUGUCCAGUGGCAGCUGAGCCCUAAGAGAGGCCUGGAGGACAUCCUCCAUCUUCACUUCCUCUCGGGCUGCUCUGUUGUAUAAGCUGGUCCUCAUGACUCUGCUCCAUCCCGACCUCACCCCCUCUUGCCCCUCUCACCUGGAGCGUGGUCUUGCCUGUCCGUUCUCACAGCAGGGUGAGCCUACAGCAAGCUUACGGCCUCUCUGCACUUCCACACCUGCCAGCAGCUUGUCUUGCCUGACUUGGAGGAAAAGGUAUUCCUCCCGCUUGUCAGAGGCUGAAUCUCCCACUGUCCCUGCGUUCUUAUUGUUUUGUACACCCUAUAUAAUUUAUCUUUUCUUUUCUCCAGCCUUCCACCCCCACCCUCAAAUAUCAUAUAAAUCUCUUAAAUGCAGGGAUCUUACAUUCAUUUGUUUUGCUGCAGACGUGGGGUGUGAGACAGAAAUCGAUCAUGGAUGAGUCCCAGAUUUUUGGCCCAGGCACUGGAUGGCUGGAGCUGCCCGUGACGGAGCCAAGGAAGGUCAUUAAUACAGCAGCCGUAACCGGAGGGUCAGAUUUAGGUCUGGACACAUUAGCACAUUAGACAUCUGUGUGGAGGUGUUGAGUAGGCAGUAGGAAGUCCAAGUCUCAGAGAGGAGGUCCAGGGUGUAGGGACAAGUGUAGCUGCCAUCAGCACAGAGAUGACCUUUAAAACCACGAGAUGACAUGAGAGCUACAAGAAGAGCGAUUGUGGGUAAAGAAGACAAGGAGCCCAAGCACUGAGCCCUGGGUCGUUCCACUGCUAAGAAGUCAGGAGAUGAGGAAAAACUCCCAAGGGGACUAGGAAGGCAUUCUGUACUCAAAGGAGGAAAGCCUGGGGUCCCAGGGAAGAAAAUGUUACAAUGAAGGCAGCUCCUACGAGGGAUCGGCUGUGUGCAAGAGGGCUCAACUGGUCAGUCCCACAAAGUGAAAACAGAUAGAGUUUGGCCUUGUGGGGGUCAUCCUUGACCUUGACAAGAGUGGUUUUGGUAGAACAGGGGGAAUGAAAGCAUGAUUGGAGUGAGUUUGAUAAGAAAUGGAUGAAUGAAUGAGAAAUAAAAGAAAACUUGUAAGUUUGUGGAGAUACAAAUUAAUGAAGAGAAAAGAAAGUGUUUCUGAACAAAGGUACUGGGGGCAAUUAUAAAUGAGUGAGCUGUAUCAAAUAAUCUGCUCACUGUUCGUACUCCUGAAUUGCAACCCAGGCCCCCCAGCUCUUGCCUGAAUAGAUACUGACUGUGCUGGAGGCAUGGCCUUGUCCCGGGCCAAAGAGGUUGUGGCUCUGUGGGUUCUUUUGGCUUUUCUCUGCCAUCCCUUUGACCAGCCACCUCCUUGAAUGAGGAAUCAGUGAGAUCCUGUUUACUCACUUGUUGAUCUCUUACCCCUGGGUCUCAUUUUAAUCUUUUCCUCCUGUUUCAUGCUGGUGAACCGACUUCCCUCUAUGCUGUGGUCAUGUGCCUGUUCCAUCUAAUACUUCAAAGUAUAAGCCUUUGAAGACCUGGAGCAGCAUGGAACAUGCAGUGAGAGACUCCGACUGCAGCCUGAUGGAUCUGUGGCUUUCUGACACCCUUUCUUUUUAGAAUAGCACACUUAAUUUCAAUCACCCCCAAUGCCAUUUUUGGUGUAAAUUAUUUUAAGGUUUCUCAGCUUGGAUUCACAAAAAUUAAAAUCACCCAAUUCUUAUCGCAAUCACAGCAACAGUGGAAUCCUAUCAGAGGACAAAGGUUGGCUAGGUUCAGGCUUAUAUUAGAUAUUGAAUAUGAAAGUGUAUAUAAUAGCACCCUGCCUGGUACUUAAUUAGUAUUUCCCCCCACUCCCCAAAUUCAUUUUUUGUUCUCAAAAUAAUACAAUGAAAUAUCAUCUGCUCUUAAAAGAAGCAAGAGCCUCGUGACUUAGUGGGAAAGCAGGGGAAGUGGCUACCACUGCACAACGCGACAACAGUAAAGCGGGUCCGGAAGCCUGAGGAGGAGAGGUAAAGAACCGCCCGAAAUGUUGGCGGAUGUAACAGGUACCCGCCUGAAACACCACCAGGCAUGCAGAACUCUUAAUUACUCUGUCAUCACCUAAGUAUUCAAACAAGUCUUAAGCUCAGUGAAAUGACUAAAAACAAAAUCAAUAACAAAAAUUCCUGCAAAAUCUCUUUGGUCCCAUAGUAGGGAGACAACAAAAAUAUAAAUUACUUCUAUGAACUGACCGUUAUUUUGACAGAUUCAACAUCAGUGAAAGAUAAUUUUCAAACAUUUUCCUUAAAGCAAUUUGUAGAAUUAAAGAUUGUCCUCAUGGUGCUAUUUAAGCAUCAGGAGUGUGGAGGGAGAUUGUUUUUCAUCUGAUUUCCAAGAAAAAAGACUUUUGCAGCAAAGAAAGACCAUGUAAUUUACUUUGUUCCUUUUUUUUCCUUUUUCUUUUUGGUUUUCUUGUGCUAAUCAGAUGUUUGCUUUAGAUAAAGACUGUUCCUGUCCCCUAGAGCAAGGAAUAUAAAGGAAAGAAUAAACAAAUGGGAUCUCAUCAAAAUAAAAAGCUUCUGCGUGGCUAAAGAAAACAGUAUUAAAUUAAAAAGAUAACCAACUGUAUGGGAAAACAUAUUCACCAGUCAUACCUCAGACAAAGGUUUAAUCUCCAAAAUAUACAAAGAACUCACACAACUGCACUCUAAGAAGACAACUAACCCAAUUAAAAAGUGGGAAAAGGACUUGAACAGACACCUCUCCAAGGAGGACAUACAGAUGAUCCAGAGACGCAUGAAGAGAUGCUCAAUAUUGUUAGCUAUCAGAGAGAUGCAAAUUAAAACCACAAUGAGAUACCACUUUACACUGGUCAGGAUGGCUAUCAUAAAAAAAGUAAUAAACAACAAAUGUUGGAGAGGUUGUGGGGAAAAGGGGUCCUUAGUUCACUGCUGGUGGGAUUGC